rnacentral:tRNA from 1 species
ACUUUUAAAGGAUAAGAGUAAUCC